rnacentral:rRNA from 1 species
UACGUAGGGGGCAAGCGUUGUCCGGAUUUAUUGGGCGUAAAGAGCGUGUAGGCGGCCAGGUAGGUCUGCUGUGAAAACUCGAGGCUUAACCUCGAGCUGUCGGCGGAAACCAUCUGGCUAGAGUCCGGAAGAGGAGAAUGGAAUUCCUGGUGUAGCGGUGAAAUGCGCAGAUAUCAGGAGGAACACCUGUGGCGAAAGCGGCGCACUGGACCACAACUGACGCUGAGGCGCGAAAGCUAGGGGAGCAAACAGG